rnacentral:rRNA from 1 species
AGCGAACGCUGGCGGCAGGCUUAACACAUGCAAGUCGAACGGGUGCAGCAAUGCAUCAGUGGCAGACGGGUGAGUAACACGUGGGAACCUUCCUAGGGGUACGGAACAACUCAGGGAAACUUGAGCUAAUACCGUAUACGUCCGUGAGGAGAAAGAUUUAUCGCCCUUAGACGGGCCCGCGUCGUAUUAGCUAGUUGGUGGGGUAACGGCCUACCAAGGCGACGAUCCGUAGCUGAUCUUAGAGGAUGAUCAGCCACACUGGGACUGAGACACGGCCCAGACUCCUACGGGAGGCAGCAGUGGGGAAUCUUGGACAAUGGGCGCAAGCCUGAUCCAGCCAUGCCGCGUGAGUGAAGAAGGUCUUCGGAUUGUAAAGCUCUUUUGCCAGGGACGAUAAUGACGGUACCUGGAGAAUAAGCCCCGGCAAACUUCGUGCCAGCCGCCGCAGUAA